AACAAGGCGUACCUGCGGACCUGCGGAGGGAUCAUUACCGAGUGCGGGCCCUCGCGGCCCAACCUCCCACCCUUGUCUCUCUAUACCUGUUGCUUUGGCGGGCCCACCGUGGCUAGGUCGCCGGGGGACGAGCGUCUCCGGGCCCGCGCCCGCCGAAGCGCUCUGUGAACCCUGAUGAAGAUGGGCUGUCUGAGUAGUAUGAAAAUUGUCAAAACUUUUAACAACGGAUCUCAGAUCGGA
rnacentral:misc_RNA from 1 species